rnacentral:rRNA from 1 species
CUACGGGGGGCACCAGUGGGGAAUAUUGCACAAUGGAGGAAACCCUGAUGCAGCAACGCCGCGUGGAGGAUGACACUUUCGGAGCGUAAACUCCUUUUAUAUAGGAAGAAGAUGACGGUACUAUAUGAAUAAGCGCCGGCUAACUCCGUGCCAGCAGCCGCGGUAAUACGGAGGGCGCAAGCGUUACUCGGAAUCACUGGGCGUAAAGAGCGUGUAGGCGGAUUAAAAAGUCAGAAGUGAAAUCCUAUAGCUUAACUAUAGAACUGCUUCUGAAACUCUUAAUCUAGAAUAUGGGAGAGGUAGAUGGAAUUCCUGGUGUAGGGGUAAAAUCCGUAGAGAUCAGAAGGAAUACCGAUUGCGAAGGCGAUCUACUAGAACAUUAUUGACGCUGAGACGCGAAAGCGUGGGGAGCAAACAGGAUUAGAUACCCGGGUAGUC